AGAACUCGGAGGGCAGAGGCAGGAAGGUCACCUGUAAGCGUGACCUGUAAAGCCAGCUUAGUCUAUCACAGCAAAGUCUAAGCCAGCCUAAAUUCUUAGCGGGUAUACACAGUUAAGCCCUGUCUCACACCAGCAAACGAGACAAAAUAUAAAAGCAAACCAUGAGAUCAUAAAGCUUUCAGAAACUCUUUAGGGGCCAAGUACUACCCAAAUGUCCUGAAAGGACCUCUAUCAACAAAAGUGAGCCCUGGAUCGCACAGGGAUGGGUGCACAGCACACUCAGGGUGUCGUCACUCACAGCUGUAAUUCUGUCUGCCUCUGCACGGGGCUCCUGAAUGGGGUGUGGAGCCCAUUAGAUCCAAGAAGUCUCACUCAGGACAAGCAUCUGUGUGUCCUGUGGGGAGCACCUGAGACCCCGUGACCCCAGCAAACAGACUAACUGCAUGACAGCAGGCACAUUCCUGAGGUCUGUCAGGGUCUGGUAUGGGAAGAUUCCUCUUGAACUCACUCCCUGUGGAUCAUGCUAGAACCAGUGUCUCCUGGUAACAGGACAGUGCACCAGGCCAGAGUUCGAGGCUACUCUUACUAGCCACACUCCCUUUCUAAAUGAUCUAGACAUGCCACCCAGGAAAGCUUCUCCAGCAUUCCUCUGCUUCAGCUGUUCUCAGCCAACACCAACAGUUAAAGAAACUGGCUGUGGGAAAGGCUGCUGCUGUCUGCCACCUAGGUUACCUCUGCAUCCUGUUCUCCAGCUGCAAGGCCAGCAAAAUUGCUGUCUGGGGACUCCGCUGGUGUCCCCUGUAAAAGAGCAACAAACCCCAAGGGUACGGUCAUCGCAGGCUCUCCAGUUAAGCUCUUAUGACAGCAAACCCAAGGCCAAGCUUUCCUCAGCACAGUCUAUGGCUUAUAGAAGCCAGAUCUAAGGGAGUGCCAUGCUCCCUGCCAGCACUCCGGCCAGCACCAGGACAUUUAUGAAGCUGCCUGGAACCCAUGUGUGAAGCAGAGAGCAAGGCAGACCGGGCACUUCCUUCCCUUACCUCUCCUUCUGAGGGAGGCCUGCUGGCAGCUAGUGGUGAAGGCAGGGCCUCUCCCUCUUCUUCUGUGCCAGGGGCAAUGUAGGAGCCAGACAUGGAGGACACUGUGUCAGUGCUGAUCUGGGAGGAUGCCAUGGACAUGACUGACUGAGCCAGGCUGCUGCUAGCAGGGUUUAGACUGAAGGUCUUCCAAGAUUCUGCUCCAGCUGUGACAGAGUAGAGGGAGCCUCACCAUGCAGGAAGGUACCUUCUGGGGAGGAGAUGGUAGAAGAGAGCGGAGUCCCUGUGCAAGACGACUGGUCAAUAGCCCCUGAAGACGACAGGGUAAGGUUCUCACUCUCUGGAGUCACAUCACGUCCCUGGGGGGGAGGGAUACAAUGGGACAUGAAACCAGCACAAACCCAGCAUAUGGGCAGGAGGGUAAGGGCAGAGCUGGGUAGGGAUGCAGAGGAAACAGACACCAGGAAGGACACAGUGACAGGAGAGGCAGUGCUGGCUUCUGUCAGCACUCUUUUUCAGCCAGGGCCUGGAGUGACUUGGUCCCAGGGGAGUGCACACUUCAGUCAGCACCUGCCUGAGGCCCAGCAUCUGGUGGAGCACACAAAAGCUGCAGCUCCAAUGACACAGGUGACCCAGCAGCUGUCACGGGGGACAUCCUGGGAGUAUGACCAGCUUUCCUUUAGAAGGGAAAGAACAUGAAACCAGCAGGACCCUCACUGCCUUCAGGACCCCUCCAAAGGUAUGUCGGAGCGCCUGCUCAGCAGGUCUGAAACCAACUCCACCUCUGCUUUCGGCCCACCAAUCCCCUGGGCACAGCCUUGCCAUCCUGGCUGGACGGAAAGGUGCAAGGAUGGCUCUCCAGGUCCCAGGCAGGCUUCUUUCAUCUUAGCUCAGGCCUACACUACUGAGGCUUUUCCUGGCUCUGUUGGCCUCCUACAUGUGACUAUCAGAAGCCUUUGCAAGACAGAGCUCUCACUGUAUCUCUUGGCCUGCUCCAAGCUUCCUCUGAAUGUUUCCUCCCUUUCUUGUCUAAAAACUGUCAAGGUCCAGCCAAAUGCUACCCUCUACAACAGUUUUUCUGAUGUCCUCCACUAAAGGAAACCGCACAUUACGCUGCAUGGUACUUCAUGGUUUCUUCUGAGGACUCUGUCUGCCCCCUCUCUCUUAAGAUAGCCUCAACAGCAGGCUGGCACUUAACUUGAUAUGUAGUUCGGGCUGGCCUCAAACUUGUGACCCCUGCUUUAGCCUCCAGUGCUGGGACUACAGGCAACCCGUAAUCCUACUUAGCAUGUGGGAGGUGAGGCAGGAGGAUCUGGAAUUCAAGGUCAUCUUCAGCAAUACAGUGAAUUCAUGGCAAGCCUGAACUACGUGAGACCCUAAGUCAACCACCCUGCCAUGUAUUCCCUCAAGAAGUACUUACUGGGCAGCAACAAUGAACAAAUGCUCUCUCAACUAGACAUGAACUCCUGAGGAUGGAACACUUUCCCAUCUCUGAAGGCCUUUGGGACCCAGUUUGCUGCCCUGGACAGUGCAUGGCUCAUAAGGUCUCUCAGUUCUAGACCAGAUGGGGCCAGGAGCUAACAGGCUGCAGACACAGGGGAACUUCCGAAUCUCAGGAAACCUCUGCAGCUACCACCUUGUAAGGUGCUGGAAGGCCUAGUGAACUGGUAAAAGCGGGAGGACCAACGAGCCGUGCAGGCAGAUGCCUGGUGCCAGUACCCGGGAGGGAGAAGAAAGCCAGUUACCUCUUCAGGAUGCUGGGCUGACAGCCUCUGAGAGAGCUGAGUCUCUGACUCACUGCAAGAGUGCUCAUCUUCCUCUUCAUGUAGCACAGAAGAAUUCUGGGAAACGGAUCUGGAAAAGCACAGAGAAAAAGCAGCUGAAUGCACUGUCCACUCAGGAGAUCAGUGCUGGCCCGAUCUCUCCUUGCUCAGGCCACACAGGGGAGCACUGGAGGAGCCAGGCCAGCUCUCGGGAGCAGGCGAGAGGUGUACUGCAGCGGGACAGAGACUUCUCUGCUCUAGCUCCUCAACUUUGAGAAAAACACUAGCAACCCCCUCGCCCGUUUCAAUUCUUUGAUCUGUGAGAUAUCCUCCUUUGCCACAGAAACUGUGUUAUGCUUGUGUCCUAUGGAUUUAAAUGAUCAGGAUAUAGGACCCUUUGGUUUCUCUGACUCCAGAUUAAACCAGGGCCCCAGGGAUUCUGUCUAUAAUACACGACCCUGAACAGACACUUACUUCUGUCUCUGGGGAAAACUGCCCCUCACUCACCACUGCCUCUCAGGCCUUCUGUGAGUGAGCAGCACUGGGGACCGGGAGAGCUGGACCCAGGCUGUGACUGACAAUGCUGCGGAGGCAAGGAUGGUUUGGAAAGCUUUCAAAGACGACCCAGGGAACAGUGGUGGGCAUCAACUACUUACUUGGACAGACUCUUUUUGAGUUUGAGUCCUUGGUUGCUGCAAUCAGACAGGCGGUCAAGAGGGGACAGUGUCCUUACGGGGGGCAGAUGGCCAUCAGUGCCAUAUGAUGGUAGCAUUCCUGAAAGGUGGCCAUCUCCAAGGACAUGAAGUGGAGGAACUGCUGGGGAUGGGGUGAGGGGUCCAUUGAGGGCCUCCAGGAGAGACACCACUUCGUAGCCUGGUGGAAUAUUCUCUGAGGACUACAAGAAUCAGAGAUAGGCCAAAAAUUAGGAACUUUUUGUAUUAAGGUAUGAUCAUGCUUCCUACUGGUCAUUAAAAGAUGAGUUUUGUUUUUAGGCAUCUGCUCUGGUAAGAAAAGCUUUGGUUAAACAUAAAGAAGGUAAAGUGUUGAAGAGCCACAGGUCCUAAAUAAUUCUUCACAAAGUCUAUGUUUCUGAUGGUAAUAGAAAUAAAUGCUCACUAUAGGAAGUUUGUAAAAUACAUCAAAGAUGAAAAAAAUUACCAAUAACCAAAUCACCCAAAGUAACUUUUGGUGGCAAUCUAGUGUAUUUUUCUAAUUAUUUUAUUUCUAUUAUUUAUGAUUUAUUGCUAAUCUAUCAAUGACAGUUCUAGGGGCUCGAGAGACGGCUCAGUAGUAAGGGGCACUUGCUGCUCUUGCAGAGGACCUGAGCUCAGAUCCCAGCACCCACAUCAGUAGCUCACAAUCAUCUGUGACUCCAGCUCCAGGGCCCUAAUGCUGCCUUCUGACCUCCAAGAGCAUCUGCACUCACAUGUGCACACACACACAUAUACAUAAAUAAAAUAAAAAUAACAAUUCUGAAUCUUGCUUGUUUAAUUAAACAAAUAUCCCCCCCUCCUUUCUUUUUUGGUUUUUCAAGACAGGGUUUCUGUGUGCAGCCCUGGCUGUCUGGGAACUCACUCUAGUCCAGGCUGGCCUCAAACUCAGAGAUCUGCCUGCCUCUGCUGGGAUUAAAGGUGUAUACCACCAUGGCCCAGUUCCUUUUUUCUUAAGACAGGUUUUCAUGAAGCCCAGUAUAACCCCAAACUCACUAUGUCCUCCUACCUCCAUCUUCCAAGUGCUGGGAUUACAGGCACACACCGGUACUCCCAGCUUCCCCUGUAGCUGGAAACUUGUGAUUCAUCCCUGCAGAGACACUGUAAGUUUUCUGACGGCCCGUGCUGGGUGCAGCGUGUUCAACAUGUCCUACUGUAACAGCACUCCAAGGAACAUCCUUGUACACAAAUAUUUUGUCAGGUUGAGGGGUGGCUCAGUGGUAGGAUGCUUGCCUAGCCCAUGAGGCCACGGGUUCCAUCCUAGGUGUCACCAGCACAACAAACCCCUUCUCUCUCUGGUCACUUUCUCAGUAUUAAGUCACAACUUACCAUGUAUAAAUGUUUUUCAUUUUUUGAAGAGCUCAACUAAUUUUUUCUGUGUGUGUGGUGUGUAUCCAUACGUGUGUGGGUAUGUGCUCUGAAUCCACAUGCAGAGGCUAGAGGAGGAUGCCAGAUGUCUUCCUUUGUCUCUUUCCACCUUGUAUUUGGAGACAGUCUCAGUAACCCUGAGGCUUACCAUUUUGGAUAGGUUGUCUGACUAGUGGGCUCUCAGGAUGCACCUGUCUCCGCCCCACAAUACUGGAGUUAUAGCUGUGCACAUGAGACCGUGCGCAGCCUUUAUGUGGGUGCUGAUAUCUGCAUUAAGUCCUCUUGCUUUCACAGUAAAUUAAAGAUACCCAUUCCAGGAGCCCCCCCCCCCAAAAAAAAAAAACCAAACUGAAUGUUCUCUAUUGCUUGUUA